rnacentral:rRNA from 1 species
UACAGAGGUCUCAACCGUUGUUCGGAUUUAUUGGGCGUAAAGGGUGCGUAGGCGGCGGGGCAAGUCAGGUGUGAAAUCUCGGGGCUCAACCCCGAAACUGCACUUGAUACUGCCUUGCUAGAGUACUGGAGAGGAGACUGGAAUUUACGGUGUAGCAGUGAAAUGCGUAGAUAUCAGGAGGAACACCCGUAGCGAAGGCGGCACUCUGGGCCGAUACUGACGCUGAGGAGCGAAAGCGUGGGGAGCGAACAGG